rnacentral:lncRNA from 1 species
GGAGGCGGGGGGGGAGGAGUUUGCCCCGGGGACUGCCCGGGACGGGCUCGGCCCCUGCCCGGCGGGGGAACCCCAUGGAGCUCCGGGCCCCCCCACCGCGGUGGCCGGCAGUGCAGGGCUGGGAGCAGUGUGUCCCUGCCCUUGUCCUCUGCACUGCUCCGGUUUGGAUGGAGGAGCAGAGUUCUGGGGAGCACUGCCUGAGCCCCGCGGGAGCCCCAGAAGCAGCUGCUCCGAGAGCUCCUGGACCCGACAAGCAGAACCCAGGCCCCCAGGACCCCUGGCUCUGGCGCCCAGGACACAGCACCGUGCGCCAAGGCCCGUCCAGCCCACCGGUGCCAGCCUUUCCUGGCCUUCAGGUCCCCAGCUCCUCCCACCCUCCGGACACCCCAGGGAGCACGGACAGGUCUUCCCAGCACGGCAGGUGCAGAAGGCAGGUGGUUCCGGAGGCAGCUCUGCCUUAG